UACGUAGGGUGCGAGCGUUAAUCGGAAUUACUGGGCGUAAAGUGUGCGCAGGCGGCAGAGCAAGUCGAGUGUGAAAGCCCCGGGCUUAACCUGGGAAUGGCCGUCGAAACUGGCGAACUGGAGUGUGGCAGAGGGGGGUGGAAUUCCGCGUGUAGCAGUGAAAUGCGUAGAGAUGCGGAGGAACACCGAUGGCGAAGGCAGCCCCCUGGGCUGACACUGACGCUCAGGCACGAAAGCGUGGGGAGCAAACAGG
rnacentral:rRNA from 1 species